CCGUUUUAGCUCCUGACCUCGUGAUCCGCCCGCCUCAGCCUCCCAAUAUGGUGGGAUUACAGGUGUGAGCCACCACACCCAGCAAUCCCUUUGUUAAGUUUUAAGGAACGACUGAAAUGGCAGUUCUAGCCAGAAUGUGGGAGGGGAAUUAAGGCUCAAGUUCUAAAUUAAAGGAAAAUUAUUAAGAGCUGUUUCUUAGGCACCUGAGCUGGAGGCCGAUUCCUGUUGGCUGCCAGGUGGAUAAUUUUGUCUCCAAGCCCAGAGAGUUGAGUUGCCAUUAUCGCCUCCUAGGGACGUAGGCGUCUGCUCCUGAUGCCUGCCUGCCCAUGUAUUUAUUCCACUGCCAUUCAUUAGCUCACGUUAUGUGCUGGCAGCGUCCUGGGGGCGGGCUGGGAAGGGGCAGAGCUAUGAGUCAGGUGGG
rnacentral:lncRNA from 10 species